CACUGUGAAGCUUAAAGCGUUAACCUUUUAAGUUAAAGUAAGAGACUUAAAAUCUCCAUAGUGA
rnacentral:tRNA from 1 species